AUACUCACAGCCGUAAUUGGAUUUCUUCUAUGUGUAGUCACAGCUGUCUGCCUCUGUAGCUCGACUACGAUCCCAAACCAGCACCAGGAAAGCGAGACCCUGAGUUAUGCCCAGUUUCAUGUUCAGUCGGGAAAAGAGGUGGCUCCCCUCCAACCCCACAGUUGUGCAGAAUACAGGACGAAUCACAAGCACGUGGGUACUUCCAGAGGCUCAGUUCAAUAUGUGGCCUCAUGAGCAUGAAGUUCAGUGCAACGCCGAAUAGGAAACAAGACAAAACGUCAACUGCAUAAAAAAGAAAAUUACUACAGUGUUAUACUGAGGUUAUUAGUCGAAAUUCCUUCAGUCCAUCCCAUGAGAAGCUUUUCACUAACCUGGUCAUUUGAUGAGUAAUGUUUAUGUCAAAUAAAAAGAACAUGAGGAAAAGGCCUUUUAAUGGCUAACUGCCACAAAUGAUUAAACCUUGUGAAAAAAGAAGAAAUGCAAAA